ensembl:lncRNA
AGAGAAGCGAAUGAUUGGCUGAAAUCGGAAAAUGCAGGCUUCCUAUUGGCUGCGCGGCGCGUCAGUCACCCUCACGCUGCCAAUACUCUUCUCCACUGACCUACUAACACAGAUCCAUGAGGCAGCGGACACUCCGGGAGGAAAAACGCAAAGGAGAAACACGGAAACAUUACCUCACAAUUUUAAUGGAAGUUUUAUCUUCUUUGCAGAUGAAACACUCACUGCUUGUUGCCAUUUGUACGCGACAUUUUAUACUACGGACUACCUAACUGAGCCCGGGGUGAUUAAAGGUCCACAAGGAACAAAAUCCCCACCAGGAACUCUUAAUAGACACCCAUGUCAUCCAUAACACUUGGUUUACGGUGAAGAUGCUCUACAUGAUUCAGAACUACUGAGCUUAUGCAAUCU